CCUACGGGUGGCUGCAGUGGGGAAUAUUGGGCAAUGGGCGCAAGCCUGACCCAGCAACGCCGCGUGAAGGAAGAAGGCUUUCGGGUUGUAAACUUCUUUUGUCAGGGACGAAGCAAUUGACGUUACCUGACGAAUAAGCCACGGCUAACUACGUGCAAGCAGCCGCGGUAAUACGGGGGGUGCAAGCGUGAUCUGCAUUUAUUGGGGUUAAAGGGUGCGUAGGCUGGGAGGUAAGUCAGCGGUGAAAUGCCCCAGCGCAACGGGGUGAAGUGCCAUUGAUACUGCCUUGCUGGAAUGCGGAUGCGGUGGGAGGAAUGUGUGGUGUAGCGGUGAAAUGCAUAGAUAUCACACAGAACACCGAUUGCGAAGGCAUCUCACGAAUCCGCGAUUGACGCUGAUGCACGAAAGCGUGGGUAUCAAACAGGAUUAGAUACCCGUGUAGUC
rnacentral:rRNA from 1 species